UAAAUACUGGCCGGAGACCGAUAGCGCACAAGUAGAGUGAUCGAAAGAUGAAAAGCACUUUGAAAAGAGAGUUAAAAAGCACGUGAAAUUGUUGAAAGGGAAGCGCUUGCGACCAGACUCGCCCUCGGGGUUCAGCCGGCAUUCGUGCCGGUGUACUUCCCCGGGGGCGGGCCAGCGUCGGUUUGGGCGGCCGGUCAAAGGCUCCCGGAAUGUAGACCCUCCGGGGUACCUUAUAGCCGGGAGUGCAAUGCGGCCAGCCUGGACCGAGGAACGCGCUUCGGCACGGACGCUGGCAUAAUGGUCGCAAACGACCCGUCUUGAAACACGGACCAAGGAGUCUAACAUCUAC
rnacentral:rRNA from 1 species